AAAGACUGUGGAUGGAUCGCUUCCAAUCAAAAUGGGAGGGGGCAUUGAACCUGUGGUGCCUAGCGGAGCCAUGCUAAGGGAACCCAUUAUGCAGGAUUCAGUUGUUUUACCGAGGAACUUGACAGAAAAUGCUGGUGUAAUUACAGAUGCUGGUGAUAAUCCUGCACCGACUACAAAAAUCCAGGAGGAUCACAUGGAGACUGACAAUAAACUAGAAGCUGAAGGAACCAGUAAUGGUUGUCAUAACCAGGAAGGGAGUUCUGUGAGCCGUUCCCCUAUUUCAUCGAAUGAA
rnacentral:misc_RNA from 1 species